GAUGAACGCUGACAGAAUGCUUAACACGUCAGCAAUCGAUUGGUGUCGGACGGGUGAGUAACGCGUAAAGAACUUACCUCACAGUUAGGGACAACAUUUGGAAACGAAUGCUAAUACCUAAUCCUGUGAGAGAGCUUUGCGUCCCAUUAGCUAGUUGGAGAGGUAACGGCUCACCAAGGGGAUGAUGGGUAGACGGCCUGAGAGGGUGAUCGGCCACAAGAGGAAUGAGACACGGCCCUUACUCCUACGGGAGGCAGCAGUUGGGAAUAAUGGACAAUGGACCAAAGUCUGAUCCAGCAAUUCUGUGUGAAUGAUGAAGUUUUCGGAAUGUAAAGUGCUUUCAGUUUGGAAGCGGUACCAACAGAAGAAGUGACGGCUAAAUACGUGCCAGCAGCCGCGGUAAUAC
rnacentral:rRNA from 1 species